rnacentral:rRNA from 1 species
GACGAACGCUGGCGGCGUGCUUAACACAUGCAAGUCGAACGGUGAAGGGAUCAGCUUGCUGGUCCUGGAUGAGUGGCGAACGGGUGAGUAACACGUGAGUAACCUGCCCCCUUCUUCUGGAUAACCGCAUGAAAGUGUGGCUAAUACGGGAUAUUCUGCGCCUGCUGCAUGGUGGGUGUGGGAAAGAUGCGCCUUUGGGUGUUUUUGGUGGGGGAUGGGCUCGCGGCCUAUCAGCUUGUUGGUGGGGUGAUGGCCUACCAAGGCGGUGACGGGUAGCCGGCCUGAGAGGGUGGACGGUCACACUGGGACUGAGACACGGCCCAGACUCCUACGGGAGGCAGCAGUGGGGAAUAUUGCACAAUGGGCGCAAGCCUGAUGCAGCGACGCCGCGUGAGGGAUGGAGGCCUUCGGGUUGUGAACCUCUUUCGCCAGUGAAGCAGGCCUGUCCCUUUUGUGGGUGGGUUGACGGUAGCUGGAUAAGAAGCGCCGGCUAACUACGUGCCAGCAGCCGCGGUAAUACGUAGGGCGCGAGCGUUGUCCGGAAUUAUUGGGCGUAAAGAGCUCGUAGGCGGCUGGUCGCGUCUGUCGUGAAAUCCUCUGGCUUAACUGGGGGCUUGCGGUGGGUACGGGCCGGCUUGAGUGCGGUAGGGGAGACUGGAACUCCUGGUGUAGCGGUGGAAUGCGCAGAUAUCAGGAAGAACACCGGUGGCGAAGGCGGGUCUCUGGGCCGUUACUGACGCUGAGGAGCGAAAGCGUGGGGAGCGAACAGG